GGGGCUGUAAAGGUAUCGAUUGAUGUUAUUUGAUAUUAGAGUGCAGCAGAGAUUGAGUAUGUCUCGCAACAAAAGACUCACCAAACUGAAAUGGCGAUAAAUCGCUAGACGGGUUGGUCAUUGAUUGGAACGCAGCUGAAUAUGAUAAGAGAUACAUCUCUUCUACUGAUGUGAUUGUUUCAACAGAUCAACCAACUUACGCAUACGCUUAAGUUAUUGAGUUGUCUAACACUCGAUCAUAAAAUAAGUUAGACAAACUCUCUUUAGUUAGGAUGGAAGUUAGAGAUUAAAUAAACUACCAGUUGGUAACUCUGAGUAAAGUUACAAGUUGUUUGUCAGUUACUACUUAUAGAAACUGAACUAAGCUGUGAAUGACUCAGUAGAAGAAACAGACAAGACGCGGGUUCGACUCCCGCCAGCUCCACAA
rnacentral:tmRNA from 1 species